UACGUAGGGUGCGAGCGUUGUCCGGAAUUACUGGGCGUAAAGAGCUCGUAGGUGGUUUGUCGCGUUGUUCGUGAAAACUCACAGCUCAACUGUGGGCGUGCGGGCGAUACGGGCAGACUGGAGUACUGCAGGGGAGACUGGAAUUCCUGGUGUAGCGGUGGAAUGCGCAGAUAUCAGGAGGAACACCGGUGGCGAAGGCGGGUCUCUGGGCAGUGACUGACGCUGAGACGCGAAAGCGUGGGGAGCAAACAGG
rnacentral:rRNA from 1 species